UUUGACAUUUUAAAUUAAUUGUUUUCUUUGAAUUGAUCAUGACCAUCAAAUUCAAAUUAAUCUAGAGCUCACAAGUUUUAUCCAUAUGUUACCUUCCUGUCCAAUCAAAAAAUAGAAAUAAUAAUAAUAUUGUUGAAUAAAUAAAAUAAAAAAACAAAUAAAUCCCUCUCAAGUGUGUGGCAACAAAGCAAUCCCUAAUGUCUAGUUGUUGUCAUUGAUCAUCUCUGUAACAAUGAAUCAUAAAAAUGGAAAAUUAGAAAAAAUAAAGAAAAAGCUCUUGAUCAAAUGGAUUGAAUACCCUUAUAACAGAGAAACACUAAACCAAUGAAAAAAAAUGGAUAUUUUUACCAUGAUAUUCUCUCUCUCUCACGGGAUGUAUGGGAUCACAAACACCAUCCACACUAAUACAUACUAUUUUCAUAUUCAAUUUUUUCCACUAUUCACUCUUCAAAAAAAUCACUCAUUUUUAAAGUCCCUCUUCUAAACUUCAAUAAAAGAACAAGUCAGUAACACAAACAUUUUUUUUAUCUCUUCAUCUCUUACACUUUCUCCAUAUCAACAUGAACCAUAAACCAUAAACUUCACCUUAAAUCCUUUAUACACACCAUAAACCUUAACACAUAAAAUCAUCUCUUACAUAUUAACCUCAUCAUCAUCUUUUCAUAAUAACUUCCAGAGUACACAAAUCAUUUUCCAAACACUCUCAACUGAAAUACAUCCUCCAAGAACACUACUCUAAUCAUUAUCCUCUCACUUGUUCAUUUAUCUUUCCAAAGCAACUCACUUCCAUGGUUGAAAACAACUUCAUAACUUUUACUACACAAAUCACAUUUUAC
rnacentral:lncRNA from 1 species